CCGGGUGAGUAAUACAUCGGAACGUGUCUUCUAGUGGGGGAUAACUGCCCGAAAGGGCAGCUAAUACCGCAUGAGGCCUGAGGGUGAAAGCGGGGGAUCGCAAGACCUCGCGCUGGAAGAGCGGCCGAUGUCCGAUUAGCUAGUUGGUGAGGUAAAGGCUCACCAAGGCGACGAUCGGUAGCUGGUCUGAGAGGACGACCAGCCACACUGGGACUGAGACACGGCCCAG
rnacentral:rRNA from 1 species